ACGGGUGCGUAACGCGUAUGUAACCUACCUAUAACAGGGGCAUAACACUGAGAAAUUGGUACUAAUUCCCCAUAAUAUUCGGAGAGGCAUCUCUCCGGGUUGAAAACUCCGGUGGUUAUAGAUGGACAUGCGUUGUAUUAGCUAGUUGGUGAGGUAACGGCUCACCAAGGCAACGAUACAUAGGGGGACUGAGAGGUUAACCCCCCACACUGGUACUGAGACACGGACCAGACUCCUACGGGAGGCAGCAGUGAGGAAUAUUGGUCAAUGGACGCAAGUCUGAACCAGCCAUGCCGCGUGCAGGAAGACGGCUCUAUGAGUUGUAAACUGCUUUUGUACGAGGGUAAACUCACCUACGUGUAGGUGACUGAAAGUAUCGUACGAAUAAGGAUCGGCUAACUCCGUGCCAGCAGCCGCGGUAAUACGGAGGAUUCAAGCGUUAUCCGGAUUUAUUGGGUUUAAAGGGUGCGUAGGCGGUUUGAUAAGUUAGAGGUGAAAUCCCGGGGCUUAACUCCGGAACUGCCUCUAAUACUGUUAGACUAGAGAGUAGUUGCGGUAGGCGGAAUGUAUGGUGUAGCGGUGAAAUGCUUAGAGAUCAUACAGAACACCGAUUGCGAAGGCAGCUUACCAAACUAUAUCUGAC
rnacentral:rRNA from 1 species